rnacentral:lncRNA from 1 species
UAUAGGACACGUUUAAACACUGACUCAUUAGCGAACUAUUCUUUGGUGUGGAUAAGUGCAAAACAUAUGUAGAAUCACAACCUAUCUCUUUAUAAUGUGUCAGUGAAGGUAUUCAUUCUUUGCCAUCCCCCUUGGAAGAUAUAUCUCCACAUUUAUGUGCAUCUUUUUUCUUUCCCAUUUUGGCAGACUGUUGUGGACCAGAUAUGGUGCUCAAACGAGGAAGCCAGGACUGCCAGUGUGUUUACCCAUUAAAGAUCGACAUACUCCUCUUGAAUGUCUCAUCAAAUCCAAAUUGGAAACUGUUUCUGAAUGAAUGACCUUCUCCUCUUGAAUGUCUCAUCAAAUCCAAAUUGGAAACUAUUUCUGAAUGAAUUUGCUUCACAAUUAAGUUUAAAGGUUUCUCAAAUUGAGCUAAUUAACUUUUACCUGGUGGAUCUAUCAAAGCU